rnacentral:rRNA from 1 species
GGAAGCGUCUGGAAAGUCGCAGGGUACAGGGUGAUACUCCCGUACACUAAAACGCACAGGCUGUGAACUCGAAGAGUAGGGCGGGACACGUGGUAUCCUGUCUGAAUAUGGGGGGACCAUCCUCCAAGGCUAAAUACUCCUGACUGACCGAUAGUGAACCAGUACCGUGAGGGAAAGGCGAAAAGAACCCCGGCGAGGGGAGUGAAAAAGAACCUGAAACCGUGUACGUACAAGCAGUAGGAGCCCACUAGUUGGGUGACUGCGUACCUUUUGUAUAAUGGGUCAGCGACUUAUAUUCUGUAGCAAGGUUAACCGAAUAGGGGAGCCGCAGGGAAACCGAGUCUUAACUGGGCGUUAAGUUGCAGGGUAUAGACCCGAAACCCGGUGAUCUAGCCAUGGGCAGGUUGAAGGUUGGGUAACACUAACUGGAGGACCGAACCGACUAAUGUUGAAAAAUUAGCGGAUGACUUGUGGCUGGGGGUGAAAGGCCAAUCAAACCGGGAGAUAGCUGGUUCUCCCCGAAAGCUAUUUAGGUAGCGCCUCGUGAAUUCAUCUUCGGGGGUAGAGCACUGUUUCGGCUAGGGGGUCAUCCCGACUUACCAACCCGAUGCAAACUACGAAUACCGAAGAAUGUUAUCACGGGAGACACACGGCGGGUGCUAACGUCCGUCGUGAAGAGGGAAACAACCCAGACCGCCAGCUAAGGUCCCAAAGUCAUGGUUAAGUGGGAAACGAUGUGGGAAGGCCCAGACAGCCAGGAUGUUGGCUUAGAAGCAGCCAUCAUUUAAAGAAAGCGUAAUAGCUCACUGGUCGAGUCGGCCUGCGCGGAAGAUGUAACGGGGCUAAACCAUGCACCGAAGCUGCGGCAGCGACACUAUGUGUUGUUGGGUAGGGGAGCGUUCUGUAAGCCGUUGAAGGUGGCCUGUGAGGGUUGCUGGAGGUAUCAGAAGUGCGAAUGCUGACAUAAGUAACGAUAAUGCGGGUGAAAAACCCGCACGCCGGAAGACCAAGGGUUCCUGUCCAACGUUAAUCGGGGCAGGGUGAGUCGACCCCUAAGGCGAGGCCGAAAGGCGUAGUCGAUGGGAAACAGGUUAAUAUUCCUGUACUUGGUGUUACUGCGAAGGGGGGACGGAGAAGGCUAUGUUGGCCGGGCGACGGUUGUCCCGGUUUAAGCAUGUAGGCGGAUGUUCCAGGUAAAUCCGGAACGUUACUAACGCUGAGGUGUGAUG